UUAAGCGACUAAGCGUACACGGUGGAUGCCCUGGCAGUCAGAGGCGAUGAAGGACGUGCUAAUCUGCGAUAAGCGUCGGUAAGGUGAUAUGAACCGUUAUAACCGGCGAUUUCCGAAUGGGGAAACCCAGUGUGUUUCGACACACUAUCAUUAACUGAAUCCAUAGGUUAAUGAGGCGAACCGGGGGAACUGAAACAUCUAAGUACCCCGAGGAAAAGAAAUCAACCGAGAUUCCCCCAGUAGCGGCGAGCGAACGGGGAGGAGCCCAGAGCCUGAAUCAGUGUGUGUGUUAGUGGAAGCGUCUGGAAAGGCGCGCGAUACAGGGUGACAGCCCCGUACACAAAAAUGCACAUACUGUGAGCUCGAUGAGUAGGGCGGGACACGUGGUAUCCUGUCUGAAUAUGGGGGGACCAUCCUCCAAGGCUAAAUACUCCUGACUGACCGAUAGUGAACCAGUACCGUGAGGGAAAGGCGAAAAGAACCCCGGCGAGGGGAGUGAAAAAGAACCUGAAACCGUGUACGUACAAGCAGUGGGAGCACGCUUAGGCGUGUGACUGCGUACCUUUUGUAUAAUGGGUCAGCGACUUAUAUUCUGUAGCAAGGUUAACCGAAUAGGGGAGCCGAAGGGAAACCGAGUCUUAACUGGGCGUUAAGUUGCAGGGUAUAGACCCGAAACCCGGUGAUCUAGCCAUGGGCAGGUUGAAGGUUGGGUAACACUAACUGGAGGACCGAACCGACUAAUGUUGAAAAAUUAGCGGAUGACUUGUGGCUGGGGGUGAAAGGCCAAUCAAACCGGGAGAUAGCUGGUUCUCCCCGAAAGCUAUUUAGGUAGCGCCUCGUGAAUUCAUCUCCGGGGGUAGAGCACUGUUUCGGCAAGGGGGUCAUCCCGACUUACCAACCCGAUGCAAACUGCGAAUACCGGAGAAUGUUAUCACGGGAGACACACGGCGGGUGCUAACGUCCGUCGUGAAGAGGGAAACAACCCAGACCGCCAGCUAAGGUCCCAAAGUCAUGGUUAAGUGGGAAACGAUGUGGGAAGGCCCAGACAGCCAGGAUGUUGGCUUAGAAGCAGCCAUCAUUUAAAGAAAGCGUAAUAGCUCACUGGUCGAGUCGGCCUGCGCGGAAGAUGUAACGGGGCUAAACCAUGCACCGAAGCUGCGGCAGCGACGCUUAUGCGUUGUUGGGUAGGGGAGCGUUCUGUAAGCCUGUGAAGGUGUACUGUGAGGUAUGCUGGAGGUAUCAGAAGUGCGAAUGCUGACAUAAGUAACGAUAAAGCGGGUGAAAAGCCCGCUCGCCGGAAGACCAAGGGUUCCUGUCCAACGUUAAUCGGGGCAGGGUGAGUCGACCCCUAAGGCGAGGCCGAAAGGCGUAGUCGAUGGGAAACAGGUUAAUAUUCCUGUACUUGGUGUUACUGCGAAGGGGGGACGGAGAAGGCUAUGUUGGCCGGGCGACGGUUGUCCCGGUUUAAGCGUGUAGGCUGGUUUUCCAGGCAAAUCCGGAAAAUCAAGGCUGAGGCGUGAUGACGAGGCACUACGGUGCUGAAGCAACAAAUGCCCUGCUUCCAGGAAAAGCCUCUAAGCAUCAGGUAACAUCAAAUCGUACCCCAAACCGACACAGGUGGUCAGGUAGAGAAUACCAAGGCGCUUGAGAGAACUCGGGUGAAGGAACUAGGCAAAAUGGUGCCGUAACUUCGGGAGAAGGCACGCUGAUAUGUAGGUGAAGUCCCUCGCGGAUGGAGCUGAAAUCAGUCGAAGAUACCAGCUGGCUGCAACUGUUUAUUAAAAACACAGCACUGUGCAAACACGAAAGUGGACGUAUACGGUGUGACGCCUGCCCGGUGCCGGAAGGUUAAUUGAUGGGGUCAGCGCAAGCGAAGCUCUUGAUCGAAGCCCCGGUAAACGGCGGCCGUAACUAUAACGGUCCUAAGGUAGCGAAAUUCCUUGUCGGGUAAGUUCCGACCUGCACGAAUGGCGUAAUGAUGGCCAGGCUGUCUCCACCCGAGACUCAGUGAAAUUGAACUCGCUGUGAAGAUGCAGUGUACCCGCGGCAAGACGGAAAGACCCCGUGAACCUUUACUAUAGCUUGACACUGAACAUUGAGCCUUGAUGUGUAGGAUAGGUGGGAGGCUUUGAAGUGUGGACGCCAGUCUGCAUGGAGCCGACCUUGAAAUACCACCCUUUAAUGUUUGAUGUUCUAACGUGGACCCGUAAUCCGGGUUGCGGACAGUGUCUGGUGGGUAGUUUGACUGGGGCGGUCUCCUCCUAAAGAGUAACGGAGGAGCACGAAGGUUGGCUAAUCCUGGUCGGACAUCAGGAGGUUAGUGCAAUGGCAUAAGCCAGCUUGACUGCGAGCGUGACGGCGCGAGCAGGUGCGAAAGCAGGUCAUAGUGAUCCGGUGGUUCUGAAUGGAAGGGCCAUCGCUCAACGGAUAAAAGGUACUCCGGGGAUAACAGGCUGAUACCGCCCAAGAGUUCAUAUCGACGGCGGUGUUUGGCACCUCGAUGUCGGCUCAUCACAUCCUGGGGCUGAAGUAGGUCCCAAGGGUAUGGCUGUUCGCCAUUUAAAGUGGUACGCGAGCUGGGUUUAGAACGUCGUGAGACAGUUCGGUCCCUAUCUGCCGUGGGCGCUGGAGAACUGAGGGGGGCUGCUCCUAGUACGAGAGGACCGGAGUGGACGCAUCACUGGUGUUCGGGUUGUCAUGCCAAUGGCACUGCCCGGUAGCUAAAUGCGGAAGAGAUAAGUGCUGAAAGCAUCUAAGCACGAAACUUGCCCCGAGAUGAGUUCUCCCUGACUCCUUGAGAGUCCUGAAGGAACGUUGAAGACGACGACGUUGAUAGGCCGGGUGUGUAAGCGCAGCGAUGCGUUGAGCUAACCGGUACUAAUGAACCGUGAGGCUUAACCUU
rnacentral:rRNA from 1 species